rnacentral:rRNA from 1 species
UAGGGAAUCUUCCACAAUGGACGCAAGUCUGAUGGAGCAACGCCGCGUGAGUGAAGAAGGUUUUCGGAUCGUAAAGCUCUGUUGUUGGUGAAGAAGGAUAGAGGCAGUAACUGGUCUUUAUUUGACGGUAAUCAACCAGAAAGUCACGGCUAACUACGUGCCAGCAGCCGCGGUAAUACGUAGGUGGCAAGCGUUGUCCGGAUUUAUUGGGCGUAAAGCGAGCGCAGGCGGAAUGAUAAGUCUGAUGUGAAAGCCCACGGCUCAACCGUGGAACUGCAUCGGAAACUGUCAUUCUUGAGUGCAGAAGAGGAGAGUGGAACUCCAUGUGUAGCGGUGGAAUGCGUAGAUAUAUGGAAGAACACCAGUGGCGAAGGCGGCUCUCUGGUCUGCAACUGACGCUGAGGCUCGAAAGCAUGGGUAGCGAACAGGAUUAGAUACCCUGGUAGUCCAUGCCGUAAACGAUGAGCGCUAGGUGUUGGGGACUUUCCGG